rnacentral:rRNA from 1 species
AGUGAACGCUGGCGGUAGGCCUAACACAUGCAAGUCGAACGGCAGCACAGUAAGAGCUUGCUCUUACGGGUGGCGAGUGGCGGACGGGUGAGGAAUACAUCGGAAUCUACUUUUUCGUGGGGGAUAACGUAGGGAAACUUACGCUAAUACCGCAUACGACCUACGGGUGAAAGCAGGGGAUCUUCGGACCUUGCGCGAUUGAAUGAGCCGAUGUCGGAUUAGCUAGUUGGCGGGGUAAAGGCCCACCAAGGCGACGAUCCGUAGCUGGUCUGAGAGGAUGAUCAGCCACACUGGAACUGAGACACGGUCCAGACUCUUACGGGAGGCAGCAGUGGGGAAUAUUGGACAAUGGACGCAAGCCUGAUCCAGCCAUACCGCGUGGGUGAAGAAGGACUUCGGGUUGUAAAGCCCUUUUGUUGGGAAAGAAAAGCAGCAGGUUAAUACCCCGCUGUUCUGACGGUACCCAAAGAAUAAGCACCGGCUAACUUCGUG